rnacentral:sRNA from 1 species
GAUGUCGUGCGAGAGGCCGUACCACUGGAGGAUACGUCCCUCCUCAUCGCGCAUCGGCU